rnacentral:lncRNA from 1 species
CUGAGCCAGAGGAGAGUCUCAGCUCUAUUCAUGCCUCCUCGUCAAGGAUGAGUUGGUGCCUCUGCUAGCUGAUCUCAGUUACUCCCAGGCAGGAAGUGCCCUCUGGUGUCUGUCAGGUCUUCAGCCUGGGAAAGGAUGACAGAAAUUGACAAGCAGGUCGAUAAGCAGCUGCAUGCAGGAUGAACAAGGACUGGGUGGUCUGUGAGCACAAGAAGCCAGAAUCAGAUGGAAUCUCGUGUAGCCCAGGAGGUUCAUUAUCAUCAUGACAGGGAGAGUGGCAGCAGGCAGCCAUGGUGGAGGAAAAGUAGGCUUUCAUCCCAGGACUCCGGAGGCAGAGAGGAUCAACAGCAUAAGGCCAGGCUGUGCUGCCCAGGGAGAGUCUGUCCUAAGAAAGACUGAAAUCCCCACAAUCCUCUGCAGUACUCCUGUUUGCCCCAAGCAACUUUCCACGCAUGGGGCUGGCAAG